rnacentral:rRNA from 1 species
AUGGUAUCGGGAGACCAGGCUCCGGAAGAGAAGUACCCUACCUCGGCAGCGGCGGCGGCGGCAACCAUUAAUCCCGUGCUGCUAGCAUUGGCGUGCUGUGGCAACUCGGGGGGACUGGGUUAUUUUCUCCACGGAGAUGAAGGCGCGCAGCAGUAUCGGAUGGACAGCCAAGGUCAAGAACUUAUCGCCAAUGCUGUGAUGAUCUCCGGCGACGGGAGCCUGCCUUCCGACGAUGUAGAAGAAGGCGCUGCCGUGUCGGCGCUGUCUGCCUCGUCCGUCCUGGAGGGGGUCACCGCCGAAGGGGACACCGCGCUCCACGCCGUGGCCUGCUCUGGUGACGGCGACAACUUCCUGAGGAGCGCAGAGGUCAUCUGGAAGGCCAAGAACCUCCUUUUCUCGCAGAAUAACAACGGCGACACGCCUCUGCACUGCGCCGCACGGGCGGGGAACUCCCGCAUGGCGCUUCAUCUCAUCGCUCUUGCUAGAGGAGAAGACGGCAGCGACAGCAACAGAGUGAAGGCGAUGCUAGAAAUGGAGAACAAGCUCAUGGAGACGGCUUUGCACGACGCCGUCCGGAUUGGGAAUAAUGAUUUGGUCAAGAUGCUGAUGGAGGAGGACUCCGAGCUGGCCUGUUUCCCAAAAGGCGGCACUUCAGCUCUCUACAUAGCCGUCCUGACGGAGAAUACAACCAUUGUGGAGACACUGUAUCAAACGAGCCACGGGAAUCUCUCCUACUCUGGUCCAAAUGGGCAAAAUGCAUUGCAUGCUGCUGCACUCCGAGGCCCAGUACUUACAGGAAUGCUGCUGGAAUGGAAAAAGGGUCUUUCGACACAAAAGGAUGAAAAUGGGAGUACUCCUCUUCACUUUGCGGCAGCUCUCCUUGAUGAUACAAACCAAGUGCCUCAAGACAACUUAUCUUUGCAUUCAGAGGAAGCCAACCCUGCCAAAAGAAAGGGGCAAACUCCUCUUUGCUUCUCUGUGUCUCUGCUACGCAGAAGCCGGCAAAGAAGCGUCUGUUGGCAAUUGCUGAACGCUAACCCGGCCGAACUAUAUCAACCGGACUGCCAUGGGAUGUACCCCAUACAUGUCGCCGCCUCUAUGGGCGCAACUGGAAAUGUAAUCAUGUUUGCUAAGAAGUAUCCCAGUAGUGCCGGCCUGCGUGACAGCAACGGAAGGACGUUCCUUCAUAUUGCCGUCCAGAAGAAGAAAAGGGGUUUAGUCGAUUUUGCGAGCAAAAAUCACUCCCUAAGGUGGGUUCUCAAUAUGCGCGACAAUGGUGGCGACACUGCACUUCACCUAGCGGUCCAAGCUGGGAGCCUUACAAUAUUCUGUGCUCUGUUUGGGAACCGGCAUGUGGAUAUGAAUGUCACCAACAAGAAAGGGCAGACUCCUCUCGACAUAUCACGAUUCAUGAUCCCACCAGAAAUGUUCUACAAUCAGAAUUCUGAAGCACAUAUACGCCGCGCGCUCACAAUGGUAGGUGCGAGAAGCGGCGCCUCUCGCCAGGAUCACUUUGAAGAAAGCUAUAACAAACUGCACCGAGCAUCGAAAGACAGAGGCAGUGACACGGAGAAUGUGAAAGACACAACGCAAAACCUAUGUAUUGGCUCUGUUCUCAUAGCAACAGUGACGUUCGGGGCCACUUUCGCCCUACCCGGUGGUUACGUAUCCGAUGACCACGCUAAUGGAGGCACACCAACCCUCGCCGGGAGGUAUGCUUUUGAUGCAUUCAUGAUGGCAAACAUGUUGGCCUUCAUUUGCUCCUCGAUAGCCACAGUCGGCUUCAUGUUUUCAGGGGCGUCCAUGGUUAACCUGGCGAGUCGCAAGUUCCACAUGCGCUCGUCCGUAUAUUUCAUGGCGACAUCGGUCACUAGCCUGACUGCCGCCUUUGCGCUAGGAGUGUACAUGGUGCUAGCUCCGGUUGCUUACAAGACUGCCGUUGCCAUGUGUGUCAUGAGUCCCUCCAUUCUGCUGUGGAAAAAUGUGGAUUACUGGAAACGAUGGGCUCUUCUUCCUCGACCGUUUUAUGCUAGGAAGGGGCUAUCCUGGACACUGAAACAGUUCGGCUCACUGAUCAUCCAGAGCACUCUAACUGAAUUUUGGCCUUUCAUGUUAAUCUUCUGUUGGGCUGCAUAUGCAAGGACAUAG